UUGACAGCUCACCUGCGAGCCGCUGUGGGUUCAGCCGAGGACGCGCCGCUGGUCAGCUGAUCGCUCGCGUUGUCCUCAGAGAACCUUUUAUCAACUUUAUUCACGCGAGCAGCAGACACGUCGCGCCGUGUGAGGAAGGAGGAAGUGUAAUUCUGGUAAACAACACCGUUUGCCAAGCGUGACACAUCAUCUCUGCGGACGGCUCUACCCUCCCACUCGGUGCGGGGGCUCGUAUAUUAGCCCCACUCCGCCCUGCAGCGCUUCAUCCAGCUCCCCGCUGUACUUUGCGCAGCUCUUCGUUAAACUCCAAAGCUCAGAUACACACCCGCAGCGGGACGAUGGCAACCAUCGCUGUUGAAUAUUGUGGAGGAUGAGGUUACUCAUCCCGCUCCCGCCGCCUGGAAAAUGACCUCAAACAGGUUCCUGGGGUGAAGAAGGUCACCGGGACCACGGGCCGGAAAGACAGCUUUGAGGUGUCGCUGGACGGUAAGCUGAUCUACUCCAAGCUUCAGAAGGGAUCGUUUCCUGACCCGUCUCAGCUGGUGGAGAUGGUGAAGAAGAUGAUUGGCAAAUAAGGAGGAGGGAAAGGGGAGGGAGAGUCAUAAAUGAGCUCCCUUCUUUUAAAAAGCUGUAUUCACACUGCAAGGACGAGGGUUUGGUUUCUCUUCACGGUUCGGAUGCUAAUCUGAAUACAAAAAGGGAAAUUAAAAUGUAAAACAUUAAAUCAUUGAAAAAACAAGGUCAUUUUGGACCAAAAUGAAAAGCUUUUAAAGUCUCAGCAUCAGCCACGAAGGGGAUCUGACCGCUUGUCUUCGCGGUGAAUACAGACAAAGGCGAGAAGAUGACGAGGCCUGCUCUGGGGAGCCAGACACUGAUCCGCACUCUAGUUUAUGAAUGUUCACAUUAAAAGUCACUCAGUGUGGACACGAUGGAAGUCUAGGAGCCAUUCAGCUGACUGGAGCCCGACGAGCUGCCUUCGUCACGUCCGUCUGCUAUUUACUCACAAACGAAUCGCCUCUGCUGCACUACUCGGGAAUCUUGCUUAAGCCACACACAUUUUUUUCACAUUUAGCUUUUCUCCAUUUGGAUCAUUCAAAAGGCUGCAGGUCCCCUGAUUGGGCUCAAGGAUAGUUUGCCUUUUGUGGAAAAAUACUCUGUCGUGUCAACGGAAUCUUCUUAACAUAUUAUUAUCAAAGACAUCAGGUAUAUUUUGUAUUUGUACUCCC